rnacentral:misc_RNA from 1 species
AAGUCGUAACAAGGUUUCCGUAGGUAUGUAAUCGUAUUCCUUUCUUGACUUUUAUGGUGACCAAUGCUAACGUUCUUUCUAGGUGAACCUGCGGAAGGAUCAUUAAAGAGUUAGGGUCUUCUGGGCCCGACCUCCCAACCCCAUGUUUAUUGAACCUUUGUUGCUUCGGCGGACCCGUCUCACGACCGCCGGAGGAUCGCCUCACGGCAUCCUCUGGCCAGCGUCCGCCGAUAGCCAACCCCUAAAACUCUGAAUAAAUCGUGUCGUAUGUCUAAGUCGUGAUUAAAUUAAAGCAAAA